AGUUAUGCAAAGGGUUCAAUUCCAGAGACCCUUGUGCAAAGGCCAAAUCACACAAAGUGAGUAAUCCUUGGAAUUGCCCCUCCCUGGUGAGACAGAGGGCUGCUUACUGCCCUCUGGGACACUCCCAGAGCCUUUGCAGCUCCUUCCCAGAGCCCAGUAAGCAUGAAAAACCCUCUGGGUGCACAGGUGGGGGAUACAUAUAUGGAGAGUGGGGAAUGGCGGGUUUCCCCUGCACUUCAUUUAUUAAUUUAUCGUCCCUCUUCCCCCUUUUAUGGUUGUGAUAGUGUAUGUAAAGCAAGUGUAAAUUGCAGGCUCACUGUACUAAAUGUGCAUGUCUGAAGAGGGCUUUACUUUGAUAUAAAAGUACUUUCAGUGGAGUUUACUUUCAUGUAAGCAGACAAGAUCAAUAUCUAUCUCCCUACAUUUAUCCAUAUAAAACAGACAAGCUUAAAAGUGUAGGUCAUCUUGGUAGGUUGGCAGUGUAGGUCAUCAUGGAUAAGUAAUGUUUGAGACCUGUUUAGUUUAGCUACAAAAGAUUUAUCUUCAGACAUCCUUCAGUGAGGGAUAAGAUUCUUUUUGUGUUCUUUCAUAUAGUUGGGAAAGCUGAGAAAGAAAGGUUAAGUGGUUUGCUCAGAAUCACAGAGGGAGUAAGGAUUAGAUCUCAAGAAUAUUUGAUUCCCUCUCAGCCUAUGACACCUCUCAAAACCCGAUAAAGAGAGAUUAUGAGAUAGCUCACUGUGUUGGAACAAGAUUAUCAUGGGAUUUUGAUGACCCAAUGAUGACUAAAAGAUCAAAAUUCAAAAUGAUUUGCCAUAUCUCCCUAUGCCACUUCAAAUGUGCUUGGUUUUUUUAAAAAAUGAAAAAAGGACUGAUUUUAUUGGGUGUGAAAGGUACAUAGGAACACAGUAGGUGCCCUGCAAGAUCUGACUAAAUUUACCCAUUUAAUUCCGUCUCCUGUUCUCACAGUAGCCAACCAGCUUCCAAUGGGAAACCCAUGAGCAGAGAUCUGUCCUAAUUGUUGCUUAUACUUCUUUUCACUCAAAGGGAAGUAUGAAAGACAGGGCAUGCGUAACAUACCUUUUCCAAAGGCUGUUAUCAGCCCAUCACUGAUGUGCUGCUGUUUCCUGAUACACUUCUCUGACUUGCUAAGGGUACCUAACAGGAACCCAAGAAAAGACAGGAGCAGUUAAGACUAUUACAAAACAGUGAUGAGAUGAUAAAACUACUCCUGGACUAUAGGAUAGGGACAACAAAACUAUAAUAUCACAGGCAAAGCUAUAAUAUCAGGAAAAAUCUUAAGAGACUCCAUGCUGUCUGAUUGUCAAUGGGCAUGAGGCUUUAUUCAAUCAUAUGAUGCCACUCUUCCUUAUUUGCUAUUUCUCUGAAAGUAUGCCUUAGCUGCAAUUGAGACCCUGACUCAAAGCACUGUAUGUGAAAUAGUUAAUGCCUAUUAAUCAGAAGGACAUUUGGGCUGCAAUAUCAUACACACUAGGGACGCGGGUGGCGCUGUGGGUUAAACCACAGAGCCUAGGACUUGCCGAUCAGAAGGUCGGCGGUUCGAAUCACCGCGACGGGGUGAGCUCCCGUUGCUCGGUCCCUGCUCCUGCCAACCUAGCAGUUCGAAAGCACAGCAAAGUACAAGUAGAUAAAUAGGUACCGCUCCAGCGGGAAGGUAAACGGCAUUUCCGUGUGCUGCUCUGGUUCGCCAGAAGUGGCUUAGUCAUGCUGGCCACAUGACCCAGAAGCUGUACGCCAGCUCCCUCGGCCAAUAAAGCGAGAUGAGCUCCGCAACCCCAGAGUCGGCCACGACUGGACCUAAUGGUCAGGGGUCCCUUUACCUUUACCUUACCAUACACACUUAUUAUUGAGGUUGGUGGGGCUUGCUUCUGAGCUGAUGUGAAUAGGCUUGCACCACUGAGCACAUUUCUUCAUGUCCCAAAGAGACGAUUGCAUAUCUGCUGUCAGCAGCUUUGGUCAUACUUGUCUUCUGUAAUUGCUGCCUCUGUGCUUCCUACCUUCCUAUGCCUGGACCAGGAUCCUUCCUUUAUUCAUGAGGAUAAUGUCACUUUCCAAUAUCUAUUUCAUUAACAAAGGCUUUUCUGAGCCUCCAUUGGUCUCACCUUAACUGAUCCUUCUCUGGGACUUCUCUGAAUUUUGGGAGGUGGGCUUUGUGCUUGCUUUAGUCAAGCUAUGGACACAGUGGUUUUUUUCCUCUUCUUCCUGCUGGCCAUACUUUUCAGAAUGUGUUAGGACUGAUGUGACAUGAUAUGGCAUUGCUCUCAAGAUGUUUCAGGAAGCUUCCUACUGACCACACUUUCUAUAAACACACAACAUGGUUUGUUGUUUUGCCCACACCUGUUGAAAGACUGUUCAAAAAUGAAAAAUUUCAGCUGGGAUGACUUUGGACAAGCUACUCUCAGUAGCUGGUCAUCCCAGUUUUUGACUAUGACUAUAUGGAACUUUGGGCACUUCCUUGCUGAGGUGCAAAUAUUAUGGCAACAGCACAGUCUUUAUUUAAUAUUCAGUACCAAUAGGACCUGCAUUUUUUGUAUGUAUUCCUUUUAUUAUGGAGCUAAUUCUGUACACACAAACUUCCAAAACAUGCACAAAUCUUCAGGAUGAAACUUCACCAUUCAAAAAGUGAAGGGAAGUGGAAAUUUUAAAAGGUUUGUUCAGAUAGAUCUGUAAAACAGGAGGGGGGAGCAUAUAUAUACUGUUCCAUCUUUGCAUAUUGGUUGUUUUGAGACUAGGCUAUUACCAUGUAAAGUAAACUACAUCAAUCUUACAUACGUUGUUGCAUAUGGUUCCGUGUUACCCAUUACACUUAGCAAGUCUGUUUGUCAGAAAACUCUAAUUGCUUUAUGCGUGAGAACAUUAAGCUGCAGUAAAUUUCUAUACACAGCUGUUCCAUUACUGCAGAACAAAUUUUAUCUCCUAAUAAAUUGAUGUUUCUUUUUAGUGUCAACUCAAACCAAAAUUUACAUCCCAGUAGGUGAACCUUAACACUGUAUAAUUAGUUUGCUGCCGGGACUGGUAAUAAGAGGGUACAUCCUUUAAAUAUAUCAGUGAAGGAAAAGUUUUGGCUUCUGCUAAUUGUUUCUUGAAAGCUUAAUUGUGAUUAAGAGGAACUUUAACUAGGGGGAGGGGAAGGAAAGGCGAAAAAUUAUGACCUUUAAAACACAUAUUGCAAAUAGCAUGUCUUCCUUUGGUCUAAGUUCCACCAUAAAGAAGAAAUACUAAAAGCUUCCUCUAAUACCAAGGAAGAAAGAUGCAAUGCUGCUUUGCUAUGGAGUCACAUUUAGGUUAAUGGAACAGGAGCUUAUACAGCUCUGGACUUUGAUUAAUAUUUAAUUAAUCUUCAGUAGAAGGCUGAGAUUUUGAAUUAAACAGGCCACUAAUAAAAGAGCCAAUUCACCAAAGAGUUCACAUAAAUCUGAUCUGCCAUUAUGGUGAUUUAAAAUAAAAUGCGCUAGGUUUUGUUCUUAUUUUAGGCUUGCUUCAGCCACAAGUAAUUGGCCAGGAACAACUGGAUCGGUGGAAUGUGACCAGAAAUGAAUGGCAGUAAUCCAGCUGCAUGGAGACAUGUGAAGGAGAAGGAGGCUAGUUCACCAACACAGGAGCCAGAUAUAUGGAGAAACGUAUAUCUGGAUAUAUGGAAAGACAUGGAAGGUGUCUUUACACUAAUGCGCAAAGCAUGGGAAAUAAACAAGAUGAGCUUGAGCUCUUGGUACAGCAAACUAAAUAUGACAUCAUAGGCAUCACUGAAACCUGGUGGGAUAAGUCCCACGAUUGGAAUGUAAUAAUGGAGGGAUACAAUCUAUUUCAGAGAAAUAGACCAGACAAGAAAGGAGGAGGAGUGGCGUUAUAUGUCAGGGAUGUGUAUACCUGUGAAGAGAUCCAAGAUUUAGAACCUCAAAGCCAAAGUGAGAGCAUUUGGGUCAAAAUCAAGGGAGAGAAGAAUAACAGUGACCUCAUUGUGGGAGUUUACUAUAGAUCCCCAAGCCAAACAGAGGACAUAGAUGAUGCCUUCCUGGAACAGAUGGCCAAGCAUGCAAAAGGAAGAGAUAGUAGUAAUGGGGGACUUCAAUUACCCGGAUAUUUGUUGGAUGUCAAACUCAGCCAAGAGCAUAAGGUCAAACAGAUUCCUCAUUGGCCUUGCAGACAACUUCAUUGUCCAGAAAGUGGGAGAAGCAACAAGAGGAACAGCCAUUUUAGAUCUGGUCCUAACCAAUGUUGAUGACCUGGUUAGUGGGGUAGAAGUGGAAGGAUCAUUAGGCGCGAGUGAUCAUGCUCUUCUGAAGUUUACUAUACAGCGGAAAGGAGCAGCCAAGCAUAUUAGGACUCAAUUUCUUGACUUUAAGAAAGCCAACUUCAUAAAACUUAGGGAAGUGCUGGGUGAGAUCCCAUGGACAGUAAUACUAAAAGGAAAGGGAGUUCAUGAUGGCUGGGAGUUUGUUAAGAGGGAGAUAGUAAAAGCACAACGUCAGGCAAUACCAAUGAGAUGGAAACAUGGAAGGUGCCUAAAGAAGCCAGGGUGGCUAUCUAAAGAACUUUUAACUGAGUUAAGAUUAAAAAGGAUGUGUACAAAGAAUGGAAAAGGGGGGAAACCACCAAAGAGGAAUUCAAACAAAUAGCCAGCACGUGUAGACACAAAGUC